rnacentral:rRNA from 1 species
UGACAGUCGAGCGGUAACAAAUCUAGCUUGCUAGAUGCUGACGAGCGGCGGACGGGUGAGUAAUGCAUAGGAAUCUGCCCGGUAGUGGGGGAUAACCUGGGGAAACCCAGGCUAAUACCGCAUACGUCCUACGGGAGAAAGGGGGCUUCUGCUCCCGCUAUUGGAUGAACCUAUGUCGGAUUAACUAGUUGGUGAGGUGAGGGCUCACCAACGCAGCGAUCCAUAGGUGGUCGGAGAGGAUGAUUAGCCACAUCCGGACUGACACACGGCCCGAACUCCUACGGGAGGCAGCAGUGGGGAAUAUUGUAAUAAUGGGGGCAACCAUGAUCCAUCCAUGCCGCGUGUGUGAAGAAGGAACUCGGGUUGGAUAGCACUUUCUUCGAGGAAGAAAGCCAAGUGGUUAAUACCCAUUAGGAAAGACAUCACUCGCAGAAGAAACACCGGCUAACUCCGUGCCAGCAGCCGCGGUAAUACGGAGGGUGCAAUCGUUAAUCGGAAUUACUGUACGUAAAGCACGCAUACGUGGCUUGAUUAGCCGGUUGUGAAAGCACCACUCCCAACUU